CUCAAAGCAUGCUUAAUUGGUUGCUAAAGAAUAACAUGCUGGUUCCAAGGAAUUUGAUUCAAGGCGACGACUUUUAGCUAAAUGCUUAGCCACAACUAGCUAGUUGUUCUCAGUUCCCUAUUCUUGUACACUUUUUAGGUAUGAAAACUAAUCCAGUGGAGGGGCAGAACUGAAGUUAUUGUGCUAUGGCUAAGUUGUCUCAGUUUUUUAAUUGUGUCGUAGAUCAGAUGAUUAAUUUAAACUAUAUCCUGC
rnacentral:lncRNA from 1 species